GAGAGUUUGAUUCUGGCUCAGGACGAACGCUGGCGGCGUGCCUAAUACAUGCAAGUCGAACGCUUCUUUCUUAUCGAACUUCGGUUCACCAAGAAAGAAGAGUGGCGGACGGGUGAGUAACACGUGGGUAACCUGCCCUUUAGCGGGGGAUAACACUUGGAAACAGGUGCUAAUACCGCAUAAUCUUUUUUCUCGCAUGAGUAAAAAGUGAAAGACGCUUUUGCGUCACUAAAGGAUGGACCCGCGCUGCAUUAGCUAGUUGGUGAGGUAACGGCUCACCAAGGCCACGAUGCAUAGCCGACCUGAGAGGGUGAUCGGCCACACUGGGACUGAGACACGGCCCAGACUCCUACGGGAGGCAGCAGUAGGGAAUCUUCGGCAAUGGACGAAAGUCUGACCGAGCAACGCCGCGUGAGUGAAGAAGGUUUUCGGAUCGUAAAACUCUGUUGUUAGAGAAGAAUAAGGAUGAGAGUAGAAUGUUCAUCCCUUGACGGUAUCUAACCAGAAAGCCACGGCU
rnacentral:rRNA from 1 species